UCUACCUACAGCUCAGAAUGGCCCAAGAAAGAAAAAAACAAGGGAGCAGACAAGAAGAAAGAAAAGUGCACACCACCUAAUACAAAAGGUAGGACAACUAACUCAUCUCAAAAGCAUAGUAUAAUUAAAUUCUUUAGGUGUCUCAGAAUCAAAUAUAUCGCAUCUCAAUGCCCAAAUAAAAAAUCAUCCUAUUGAAAUAUGAUGGCAAAAUUGAUAGUGCCAGUGAUUACGAGAGAGAAGAU
rnacentral:lncRNA from 1 species